UGAGGCGCUUAUCUAAGUAAUUUUUUUUCACGCAGAAGCCUCUUGCAAACCAGUUUGGUUUAAUUAGGGUCAGGAUGCAUCAGGAAUGGAGCCUUCUCUCCAAGCAUUUUUGUGGUAGGCUAGCCAGUUCUUGGCUGGUACUGAUCGGACAAUGUUGCAAGACUGCUAAUUCGAUCUUGCUCGAGUGAUUUAGUUAGCAAACAAUGGGUAGGAAAGAUAUCUGUUAAGGCAUUAAAC
rnacentral:lncRNA from 1 species